rnacentral:hammerhead_ribozyme from 1 species
AUCCAGAUGACGAGUCUGAAAUAAGACGAAGCGCGCACCGAACUGGAU